rnacentral:ribozyme from 1 species
AAUAAAUGCUAUAUCUCCUGUUAUUGACGCUUUGGUCCCUACUAAGUACCAUUCUAUAGAGAUCAAUAAACUCGCCAAUGCUAUGGUGCGGCAAUGUCUUGUGAAGGUGAAUGAUCCUCCUUCGGAGAGUGAGUU